rnacentral:rRNA from 1 species
UACGUAGGGUGCGAGCGUUAAUCGGAAUUACUGGGCGUAAAGCGUGCGCAGGCGGCUUUGCAAGACAGAUGUGAAAUCCCCGGGCUUAACCUGGGAACUGCAUUUGUGACUGCAUGGCUGGAGUGCGGCAGAGGGGGAUGGAAUUCCGCGUGUAGCAGUGAAAUGCGUAGAUAUGCGGAGGAACACCGAUGGUGAAGGCAAUCCCCUGGGCCUGCACUGACGCUCAUGCACGAAAGCGUGGGGAGCAAACAGG